UGCCCUGGAACGGAUUAUUGAUCUGCUUU
rnacentral:piRNA from 1 species